rnacentral:tRNA from 1 species
GCCAGAGUGGUGGAAUAGGUAUACAUGCUGGUUUUAGGUACCAGUCCUUAAUCGGAUAGGGGUUCGAGCCCCCUCUCUGGCA